rnacentral:rRNA from 1 species
ACUUUCAGCGACGGAUGUCUUGGCUCCCACAACGAUGAAGAACGCAGCGAAAUGCGAUACGUCUUGCGACUUGCAGAGUCCAGUGAAUCAUCAAAACUUUGAACGCAUCUUGCGCUUCCGGGAUACUCCUGGGAGCAUGCUUGUCGGAGUGUC